rnacentral:rRNA from 1 species
AGAUUGAACGCUGGCGGCAUGCCUAACACAUGCAAGUCGAACGGGAGUAGCAAUACUCUAGUGGCGGACGGGUGAGGAAUACGUAGGAAUUUGCCCUUAAGUGGGGGAUAACCCGGGGAAACCCGGAUUAAUACCGCAUGACCUCGAAAGAGCAAAGUGGGGGAUCGCAAGACCUCACGCUUUUGGAGAAGCCUACGUCGGAUUAGCUAGUUGGUGAGGUAAUGGCUCACCAAGGCGACGAUCCGUAACUGGUCUGAGAGGAUGAUCAGUCACACCGGAACUGAGACACGGUCCGGACUCCGUACGGGAGGCAGGCAGUGGGGAAUAGUUGGACAAUGGGCGGCAAGCCUGAUCCAAGCAAUGGCCGCGUGUGUGAAGAAGGUCCUUCGGUUGGUAAAGUACACGUUUAAGGUUAGGAAAGAAAAACUCGACUACGUAACACGAGUGUAGUCGUUAGACGGUACCGACAAGAA